rnacentral:rRNA from 1 species
GGCUCAGGAUGAACGCUAGCUACAGGCUUAACACAUGCAAGUCGCGGGGUAACAUCUGGUAGAGCUUGCUCUUCCAGGAUGACGACCGGCGCACGGGUGAGUAACGCGUAUCCAACCUGGCCCAUACCACGGGAUAGCCCGUCGAAAGGCGGAUUAAUACCGUAUGCUGUCACUAAGAUGCAUAUAUUGAUGACGAAAGGACUGGCGGUAUGGGAUGGGGAUGCGUCUGAUUAGCUUGUUGGCGGGGUAACGGCCCACCAAGGCGACGAUCAGUAGGGGUUCUGAGAGGAAGGUCCCCCACAUUGGAACUGAGACACGGUCCAAACUCCUACGGGAGGCAGCAGUGAGGAAUAUUGGUCAAUGGGCGCAAGCCUGAACCAGCCAAGUAGCGUGAGGGAAGACUGCCCUACGGGUUGUAAACCUCUUUUGUUUGGGAAUAAAGUGCGGGACGUGUCCCGCAUUGCAUGUACCAUUUGAAUAAGGACCGGCUAAUUCCGUG